GAUGAACGCUGGCGGCGUGCCUAAUACAUGCAAGUCGAGCGAACAGACGAGGAGCUUGCUCCUCUGACGUUAGCGGCGGACGGGUGAGUAACACGUGGAUAACCUACCUAUAAGACUGGGAUAACUUCGGGAAACCGGAGCUAAUACCGGAUAAUAUAUUGAACCGCAUGGUUCAAUAGUGAAAGACGGUUUUGCUGUCACUUAUAGAUGGAUCCGGGCCGCAUGAGCUAGUUGGUAAGGUAACGGCUUAUCAAGGCAACGAUGCGUAGCCGACCUGAGAGAGGGAUCGGCCACACUGGAGCUGAGACACGGUCCAGACUCCUACGGGAGGCAGCAGUAGGGAAUCUUCCGCAAUGGGCGAGAGCCUGGCGGAGCAACGCCGCGUGAGUGAUGAAGGUCUUCGGAUCGUAAAGCUCUGUUAUUAGGGAAGAACAACUGUGUAAGUAACUAUGCACGUCUUGACGGUACCUAAUCAGAAAGCCACGGCUAACUACGUG
rnacentral:rRNA from 1 species